rnacentral:lncRNA from 1 species
UCCACCAGGCACCCCUGGCUGGUCAAGCAAAUACUCUACGCCCGCUACGGCUACCUCUUCAACGCACAGCUUAAACGGCGCUACCGCCUGGGAGGGAAUGGCAACUGCCCCCUCUGCCACACCCCUGACUCCGGAGGGCACAUCCUCGGAGGCUGUACACACCCUAAAAUGAAAGGCGCGUACAUCAAUCGGCACAACUGGGCAGUCCAGCGUGUCGCCAAAUGCAUCUCCAAAGGGACCUACGGGAACGGGUU